rnacentral:rRNA from 1 species
GACGAACGCUGGCGGCGUGCUUAACACAUGCAAGUCGAACGGUAAGGCCCUUCGGGGUACACGAGUGGCGAACGGGUGAGUAACACGUGGGUGAUCUGCCCUGCACUUCGGGAUAAGCCUGGGAAACUGGGUCUAAUACCGGAUAGGACCACUGCCUGCAUGGGUGGUGGUGGAAAGCUUUUGCGGUGUGGGAUGGGCCCGCGGCCUAUCAGCUUGUUGGUGGGGUGAUGGCCUACCAAGGCGACGAUGGGUAGCCGGCCUGAGAGGGUGACCGGCCACACUGGGACUGAGAUACGGCCCGGACUCCUACGGGAGGCAGCAGUGGGGAAUAGUGCACAAUGGGCGCAAGCCUGAUGCAGCGACGCCGCGUGAGGGAUGACGGCCUUCGGGUUGUAAACCUCUUUCAGCACCGACGAAGCGCAAGUGACGGUAGGUGCAGAAGAAGGACCGGCCAACUACGUGCCAGCCGCCGCGGUAA